rnacentral:piRNA from 1 species
UGACAGCUGAUGGAGUGGAGGCCUGA